UAUAUCUUGGGUGAUCCCCCCAGUAGUCAUAUGCUUGUCUCAAAGAAUAACCCACGCAUGUACAAGUACAUACUUUUACAUAGAGAAACCGAGAAAGGCUCAUUAAAUCAGUUAGGGUUCCUUAGAUUGUUCUAUCCUACUUGGAUAACUGUGGUAAUUCUAGAGAUAAAACAUGCAACACGGCUCCCACUUCAGGGAAGGGGCGCUUUUAUUAUUCCAAAACCAGUCGGGUCUCAAGGCCCGUCCCAUUGGGGAAUUUGGAAAAAUUUGUGCUGAUUGCACGGCCUCGCGCCGGGGGAGGAUUUUUCAAAAGUUUGCCCUAUUCACUUUCGAUGGUUGGUGAUAUGCCUACCCUGGUUGUAACGGGUAACGGGGAAUCAGGGUUUGAAUCCGGGGAGGGAGUAUGAGAAACGGUUCCCCCAUCCAAGGAAGGCAGCCGGCGGGCAAAUUACCCACUUCCGGCUCGGGGAGGUAGUGAGGAAAAAUAACAAAACAGGACUCCUUUCGAGGCCCGGUAAUGGAAUGAGUACAACAGCGAGCCA
rnacentral:rRNA from 1 species